rnacentral:lncRNA from 1 species
CCUCAUUUCACCUCAUCAUUAGGCAUUUGAUCAUCUUACACCAUUACAAGAAGGGAACUAGGAUCCCACAUGCUGUGCAGCAACUAAGCUACAACUGCGGAGAAGCAGGGGCAACAGAAGAUCCUGCACGCAACCAAGAGAAUCUCCUUAGACAUGGCUGGAACCCGAUUCAGCCAAAUAAAUAAAUAAGAAGAAGAAGAAAAUUAAUUCAAAAGCUUCAAUUGUGGUAGCUAGAAAACAGAUCUUAUUUAUGACCUUUUCCAAACCACCAUGAUGCUAAAAAGGUGACAACACUCUUCAGAAAAAACAUUUUG